CAGCAGCCCGGUAAUACGUAGGUGGCAAGCGUUGUCCGGAAUUAUUGGGCGUAAAGGGUGCGUAGGCGGUUUGACAAGUUUGGUGUGAAAUCUAUGGGCUCAACCCAUAGCCUGCAUCGAAAACUGUCGGGCUUGAGUAUGGGAGAGGUGAGUGGAAUUUCCGGUGUAGCGGUGGAAUGCGCAGAUAUCAGGAGGAACACCGGUGGCGAAGGCGGGUCUCUGGGCAGUAACUGACGCUGAGGAGCGAAAGCGUGGGGAGCGAACAGGAUUAGAGACCCCGGUAGUCCCUGUCUCUUAUACC
rnacentral:rRNA from 1 species